GAUGAAGAACGUAGCGAAAUGCGAUAAGUAAUGUGAAUUGCAGAAUUCAGUGAAUCAUCGAAUCUUUGAACGCACAUUGCGCCCGUCAGUAUUCUGGCGGGCAUGCCUGUUCGAGCGUCAUUACGCCCCUCAAGUCCCCUGUGGACUUGGUGUUGGGGAUCGGCGAGGCUGGUUUUCCAGCACAGCCGUCCCUUAAAUUAAUUGGCGGUCUCGCCGUGGCCCUCCUCUGCGCAGUAGUAAAACACUCGCAACAGGAGCCCGGCGCGGUCCACUGCCGUAAAACCCCCCAACUUUUUAUAGUUGACCUCGAAUCAGGUAGGACUACCCGCUGAACUUAAGCAUAUAUAAGCGGAGGA
rnacentral:misc_RNA from 1 species